CGGGAUGCGGCGUCUAUUGCAGUCGAGCGACAGAUAAGGAGCUUGCUCCUUUGAAGUUAGCGGCGGACGGGUGAGUAACACGUGGGUAACCUACCUAUAAGACUGGAAUAACUUCGGGAAACCGGAGCUAAUGCCGGAUAACAUAUAGAACCGCAUGGUUCUAUAGUGAAAGAUGGUUUUGCUAUCACUUAUAGAUGGACCCGCGCCGUAUUAGCUAGUUGGUAAGGUAAUGGCUUACCAAGGCGACGAUACGUAGCCGACCUGAGAGGGUGAUCGGCCACACUGGAACUGAGACACGGUCCAGACUCCUACGGGAGGCAGCAGUAGGGAAUCUUCCGCAAUGGGCGAAAGCCUGACGGAGCAACGCCGCGUGAGUGAUGAAGGUUUUCGGAUCGUAAAACUCUGUUAUUAGGGAAGAACAAAUGCGUAAGUAACUGUGCGCAUCUUGACGGUACCUAAUCAGAAAGCCACGGCUAACUACGUGCCAGCAGCCGCGGUAAUACGUAGGUGGCAAGCGUUAUCCGGAAUUAUUGGGCGUAAAGCGCGCGUAGGCGGUUUCUUAAGUCUGAUGUGAAAGCCCACGGCUCAACCGUGGAGGGUCAUUGGAAACUGGGAAACUUGAGUGCAGAAGAGGAAAGUGGAAUUCCAUGUGUAGCGGUGAAAUGCGCAGAGAUAUGGAGGAACACCAGUGGCGAAGGCGACUUUCUGGUCUGUAACUGACGCUGAUGUGCG
rnacentral:rRNA from 1 species